rnacentral:misc_RNA from 1 species
AGACACGUAACAGAUACUUGUGUAGGACUUGUUAUCAUAAGUUGAUUUCCGGCAAACGUAUUAUUAUGCGUCAAACGUAGGUAUAAUAAUUGAGUCAUUUUAAAUUUUAGCUUAGUUGCAACUAGCAGUCUGAAUAAAGCCGUCGUGUUCAAGUAAAACGUCAAAAUAUUAUACAUAGGUACUUGAAGUCAAUCGGUGCAGUAAAAAGUUUAAAACAUGGAUGGAAAUGCAGAUAUUGUUUUUUAGGUUGCCCUCCAGGGGCGGGGAUUUCACAUAAAUCAUUAGCGGAAGUUCUGUUUAAAUUUGUGGAAGCUCUGGAUAAACCAUUAGCGGAAGCUCUGGGUCAAUUUAUAGCGGAAGCUCUGGGUCAAUUUAUAGCGGAAAAUCUGGAUAAAUCAGUACUGGAAGCUCUGGAUAAACCAUUAGCGGAAGCUCUGGGUAAAUUUAUAGCGGAAAAUCUGGGUAAAUCAUUAGCGGAAGCUCUGGGCAAAUCAUUAGCGGAAGUUCAUAACGAUACUGCUUCGAAUACUGCUAAUGCGAAGAAUUCUACGUCGAAUACUGACGAAGAAGAUGAAUGUGGACCAGUCGAUAAUUCAGCCGACUCCAGGUGGACAUUGAAGCAUAAAAAUGUACCCCUGGACUUAAGGAACUGAUACCCGAAAGUGGCGUAUACAUAAAUGCUAGAUCCUUUGAAAACAUUGAAACGUCAGCGAAAAAUGCUUCAGAUUUAAUUCGCAAGCUGAUGCCAGAGAUAUUUAGCGAAAAAGCCUUGAAUGUUUGCAGUUUAAAAGGCAAGUUUAAUAGACCUGGCUUAGAUUGUAAUGCCGUCAGAACGAUACUUACAUUUGUUGAUGAAUACGGCGCAGAAAAAAAAUGGGACAAGUAUGGGAGAGACGUUUGUUCAGUUAUGAGGAGUUGGUUAAACAAUUACAGAGAGAAGAACGCACAGAAAAAAAAUACAGACUCCCCGCGAGGGAAACAGUAGGCACCGCUCAUUAUAUCCUUGUGUAUUAUUUUUUAGAAAAUUACUUAAUAUUGUGUGUAGAAUUCAUAUUGUUUUUUUAUCCAAAACUGGGUACGCUCCCAGUCGACACCGAUAGUGAGGUUUUUAAUAGUUUUUAAUGAAAAUGUAAAUAUGAUAAACCCAUAUCAAAAGUUUUACACAAAUACUAUUAACUUGUAAGGUAAAUAAAUAUUACCACACUAUUUUUUUUAGAUAAAUAAAUAUUACACAAAACAUUAUUUAGUCGAUCAACGAUAGGGGACGAUGUUUAUGAAGUUUUAAUUUUGGAAAUAAAUAACUUGGUUUUUUA